rnacentral:rRNA from 1 species
UACGUAGGGGGCAAGCGUUAAUCGGAAUUACUGGGCGUAAAGCGUGCGCAGGCGGUUCCAUAAGACAGAUGUGAAAUCCCCGGGCUCAACCUGGGAACUGCAUUUGUGACUGUGGGGCUAGAGUACGGUAGAGGGGGAUGGAAUUCCGCGUGUAGCAGUGAAAUGCGUAGAUAUGCGGAGGAACACCAAUGGCGAAGGCAAUCCCCUGGACCGGUACUGGCGCUCAUGCACGAAAGCGUGGGGAGCAAACAGG